rnacentral:lncRNA from 1 species
AUGACUGCGUGGGAGACGGAGCCAAUGACAGAGUCAGCAGCCCCGGCAGCCCCCACAUGGCCCACACCCGCGCCACUCCUGCCUCUGCCUUCCCUCCAUGUACAGCCCAGUCCACACCCUACAAGGGAGGGAACCUGGGAGACAGAGGGAGGCUCCAUCACUGCUCUGCCCAUCACCCCCAGCAGAGAGGCCCCGGCCAACAUGCAGCUCCGUUGGGCACUGAGUCACUGGAACCCUGCCAUCUGCACCCUACCUCUUGUUACAACCUCAGCAGAGGGGAGACCUGACAGUUUGCGGGGCUACCUGCCCGGGGACCAGAAUUGAUUAAAUAAAUUAAAGCUCUGCAGCCUGUGAGGCUCUGGGUAAGGUCGUCUGGUCCUCCCGCUGUCACCAGCCGGCUGCACGGCUCAGCCUACCGAGGACGGAGUCCUGAGAAGCUCGGUGCCUCGUCUUCUCUGCUGGGACCACACGAGGGUGCAGAUGAGCCCUGGGACAGGUGGGAAGCGCGUGAUGGGACGGGGAAGUGGGGAGGAGAAGGGGAAGACAAAAGGCAAAGAAAGCGUGGGACUUUACGGAGUGCCAGGUAUAGGGGUUGCAACUGUGAGCUACGCAGCUGGAGCCUGCUGUACGCAGGCUCGGUCAGGUUAUGUGCCCAGGCUGGACAGAGCAGACAGAGAGAGCCCUCGGCAGAGACUCAGGACAGCAGAGAGGGGAAAGGACUUGCCCAGUGGAAUUUGAGGCCAAACGGGAGCUGAGCCCUAUAUUUCUCUCUUUAGGUCCGCUGAGCCCCUCCCCUGGCACACCAAGUGGGCCUGCGUUGACCUCCCCAGCCUGCUCCUAUUCCAAUUUCUCCCAUGACUGGUUCAUGGAAGGCAGGCUCCUGAGCCUGUAGAAUCUGGAGUAACUCAGGUGUUAAAAAUGACAGCAGAAUGCAUCCUAAGGCUUAGCUGAAAUGAUUGGUCCUCCAGGCACGGUCUUCGUCCCAGCUCCCCUCCUUGUGUGCAGAGCUGAGAGCUACUUUUAAGGCAGAGGAAUGUCCGUGGGGCCCUAUCCCCUUCCACCACCCACAGCCUUGGCUUGGAGUCUCUCAGCCAUUGACAGUGGCUGGCGGUGUCUUUCAGUCAUUUUCCUUCCCUAGUGCUUGCUGUUAUCAUCCCAGUUGAGUAGAGGGCAGAUCCUCACUUCCCAGAUGAGAAGACUGAGGCCAUA